AGGGAGAUGAGCCUGCAAGACGUUCAGCACGUUUGUCAUCUAGACCUGCGCCAAAGCCGGCUGCCAAACCCAAAAAAGCGGCAGCACCCAAAAAGCCAGUCAAAGGAAAGAAGGCAGCUGAGAACGGUGAUGCCAAGGCUGAGGUCUGAAAUAAGUCCAUUUCCCUCCCAUUUCUAGGCGAAGGUUGAAGCCGCUGGAGAUGCCAAAUGAAGAACUGUUUGAAGUUGUGAUCAUUCUGUGUACUUGGUGACUGUACAGUUUAAAAUAAGUAUUUUUUACCAAGUUUUUUUAUAUUAAAAGAUAUCAUUUAUAGUUCAUUGUGGGCUUACAUUUGACGUAAUGAAGCUGUUCCAAGGGGUUGUCACGUUCAUAUCCAUUUUUUUAUGCCUUGUUUAAAUGAAUACCGUCCAUAUCCAGUCAAAGUUUUAAAAACCACACAAAAAAACUUCUAACCCUGUUUUAUUUUUUUACUGCUGAAUGUUAUUUUCCAACAUAAAUCUAAACAUUAAAGGCAGCUAAAGUGUGUUUCUAAAAUGUUUAAGAGGAAUAGGGUUUUUGCCACUCCUUUUAGUUUUUUAUUGUACAAGUAAUAUGAAUUAAUUACAUACCAAAUGUUUUGAAUCAACAUCAGAUCUUCUCAUUCAGGAGACAAAAGACACCGUUUGAAAGUAAUCACUAACUUGUAUUAGGUCAACACACAAAAUUAAUAAUGUGAACUUAAUCAUUUGUUCUAUUGUUUAUUUUUAUUAAAUUGUUCUGUAAAAACAGUGGAAAGAGCUAUUGUGACGCCUAUGAAAUUUUAAAUGUUCUUGAAUAAAAUGAUAAAAAGGC